UACGAAGGGGGCUAGCGUUGCUCGGAAUUACUGGGCGUAAAGCGCACGUAGGCGGCUUUGUAAGUUAGAGGUGAAAGCCUGGAGCUCAACUCCAGAAUUGCCUUUAAGACUGCAUCGCUUGAAUCCAGGAGAGGUGAGUGGAAUUCCGAGUGUAGAGGUGAAAUUCGUAGAUAUUCGGAAGAACACCAGUGGCGAAGGCGGCUCACUGGACUGGUAUUGACGCUGAGGAGCGAAAGCGUGGGGAGCGAACAGG
rnacentral:rRNA from 1 species